AGAAUUUCCUGUGACUGUGACAGUAGAGAGUCCUUCCUCCUCAGAAAUCGAAGAGGUUGAUGAUUCCUCAGAAAGUGUUCAGGAAGAGCCAGAGAAAAUCAGUUUGAAACAAGAAGCAUUGCAGGAAAACCUGGAGGAGUGCCUAAAGCAGUUAAAGGAGGAAAGAGUAAUAAGACUGAAGGCUGAUAAAUGAGUCAAUGAAGCUUGGGCAGCUAGCCACAAUGGCUGGUAUAGAUCAGUCAGAUUUUCAUUUACUAGGUCGUCCCCAGAUGAAUUCUACUGUUAGUAGUCCACCU